UGCGGGAUGGCCAUAAGGAGUAUCGAGUGUUCCUUUUUUACCUCCUCUCUCAUUUUCCUCUUCUCCGCCUGACGUUUCGUGGCGUCCGUCUACGGUUUACCUUUCUUCGUCUUCCUCGGUCCUACAGAUCUAAUUUUCUCACUCAUGUUGUGUGUCGUCCGCAGGAGAUCAAAUUUGGUUUACUCACGCCGGGUGCCGUCCACAGGAGAUUGUCUAGGUUUGUUCUCAUGCCAUUCGUGAACUAGAUCGUGUGGAGGCAUUCAUGGGUGCAUGUUUGUUUACCAUUCAGUUUGCAGGUAUGGCCUCUUUAGAGAACUCUAGAAUCUUCAUAUUUUUAUUUUGAUUAGUGCCCUUCUUUUCAAUAUUCAUGGUGUCUUUUUCGUAUAAAAUUACAUUCAUGUCGUUUCUUUUAUUUUUCAAUUAUUUUUUGAACUAUAAAUCUAUAUAUGCAGUAAAUGACUGAUGAGUGCAUUUUGCUUGUUGGUUGUCUGUAUACACACUUAUGCAGAUUUGCACGGUGCUCAAAACUGGCCCAAUGCAAGUUGUGUGCUUCAAUUUUUCUUUGUUCUACCAAGUCAGUUUUAAUUCCCCAAGCUGAUUGUUUGGAUCACAAGUUUUAUCGAGAACGAGAUUUAGUUAAAGGAGAUUUGAGGCUAACUACUUAACACUCUGUUUGGCUAGAUAGUGGAAAACGUGACUAAUAAAAAGAACGAUUUCACUAAACUCCUAUCUGGUCUUUACAAACCAAAUUCCCAUACCUCCUUUUUGUGUCACAUCCUUGAUUUUUGGUUCUUCCUUGUAACAUGAGAGAAAAAUGAUUUGAUGCGAUGUAAUAUAUCUCCACAAAUAGUCUAAUCUGAAUAUAAAAAACACAGAUAAGUUGUGGUAGUCACCCCCUAAUAACUGAUUUCUUAGAGUUGCUCAUGAGUUGAUUCAGAGUUUCCCUGUAUCUACAUGUUCUAUAAGAUAUGCUCAAUUGCAGUCUUAGCAAUGAGUUUCCUUGUAUCUACAUGUUCUAUGUGAUCAACGGUUCUGAGAAGAUAGAAAUGAAUGUUUUGGAAAAGCUUUUGCCUUGAGGAGCCAUUCCUGUUAUUGUCUCAGGUAUACAGACUCAAAGGUUCCUUUGGACUGAUUACACAGGACAUACAUGCUUUGGAAUAGCAUCAAUAUUAUUAUUGGCAUAUCAAGGCAUGUGUAGGCAUAGUAUCUCAAUGUCCUUCCCAGGUGCCAACCUCAUUCCAUUCUCCACCUGAUCAGUACACACAUGCUCUGUUUACAAUUUGAAUUAGUCACAUUUUAGAACAUGACAGAUUUCACAUGCUUUAAAAAAGGAAAGAGAAACUACCUCCGUAUGUUUGAAACGUUUCCACUAACUCAUUGUCGACUUAUGUUUCUGGUGUAGGCUGAUUGUCACUGCAGGGGAUGAGGCAGGCGUACGAUAUAUAUACAUAUAAUCAUUUGUCUUCAUUUAUGUGAUACUUGUGCUGUCUCAAGGAAUCUGUAUGGCGCCCGAUAGGGCGCUACUGAUUCUAGUAAGAACUUAAGAAGCCAUGGAUGGGAACGGCAACUGGGACACGAUGAAAGGCAAUAAGUUAGCCGCCGAGGUCGCCGUCGCGCGUGAGGUCAGGUCGGCAACGUGUUGCGGUGUGUGGGCUGCACGUGAGCUAGCUAGCUAACCGGACGCGCGGUUGACCCGCUUGCUUUGCUUUGCUUUACUUGCCAUGGAGGGCAAACAGUGAUGUAUUGUCGCAUGGCCUAUGUGUGACGUGUCAUAUAUAACCUGUUUCAUGGA
rnacentral:lncRNA from 1 species